rnacentral:sRNA from 1 species
AAUGGCUCUGAACGUAGAGACGGCAACUUCUAGUUGGCUGCACACAGAGGUCCGCCGUUCAAAUCCCACAGCCAGGCUCGGCUGAAUUUUUGAGUUUUGCC